rnacentral:rRNA from 1 species
CUCCUACGGGAGGCAGCAGUGGGGAAUAUUGGGCAAUGGGCGCAAGCCUGACCCAGCAACGCCGCGUGAAGGAAGAAGGCUUUCGGGUUGUAAACUUCUUUUAUGAGGGACGAAGGAAGUGACGGUACCUCAUGAAUAAGCUCCGGCUAACUACGUGCCAGCAGCUG